rnacentral:lncRNA from 1 species
GCUCCGGCGACAGGCACAUACCCAGCUCCGGUUCUCUUCUACAGCCGCAUACCUACCUCCAAUCUCUGGUCUCUCCUUAAAAUCAAAACGACAGAUAGAGAGCCUGAAACAGAGACUAAGAACACAUACAUACAAACCCUAGAGAAAGGAGUGAGAUGUGCAGAUGUCUAGAGAUGGAAAGAGAGUCUGGGAGAAAGAAUCGUGAUGGACUGGUGGCUGACCACCGCCACCGUUGGCGGCGCCACCUGAUUCCGGCGCGUCAACGACCCCAACCGACGGAACAAUGGCUGAGCCCUUGAGAGAAAGAAGACGCUGGCCUUGAAGACGGUUAGCAUUCCGACCAAAUUAGACCAGGUUCCGGUGUUCCGGUGAAGGUACGACUAGGGUUCUACGAGCAGUGCCGGCAAAGAUAAUCAGUUGAAGAUCCGGUGAGCGGAUUAAAGCCUGUAUGGGAGUUCUUCAAGUGAAUCGGCAACUUUCCAGGCCGACUCUACAUAUAAGGGAGACUUCAGCUGGCAUCUACAACAGCAACACGUCUAUCUAAACCCAGCUACCGGCCCUGCGAAGUCAAUCGCCAUGCUUUCAGUUUUGAUCAAGGACUGUUGCAGAACGGAGCAUGAUUCGUAACUUCUCGUCGCUGUACAUUUUGUGAGUACGAAUGAAUCUGGGGUGAUUACGGUUACCGGAAAAGCAUCGUCUGGUGUCCGUAGGAAUGAAUUUCUCACAGAAUUUAUGUUUGAAUAGCACUCGCAAUGGGGAAUGAUGUGUUGUGAAGAACUUCGGGUGAAGUGGAAGGACAUGAAAUCGAUGAGAAGGCAAACCAUCCGAGAGACGACCAGUGUAUCAAUCGAUCGACUGAAAAAGUGUUAUAUGUGUAGAGGUGAUGGGGUAACCAAGACUAAG